AGAAAAUUCUAAGGCUCAGGACAUCAUGGUGCCACCUUUAAUCCCAGUACUCUAGAGCCAGAGGCUGGUGCAUCUCUGAGUUCCAGGCCAGCCAGGGCUGCAGAGUGAGUUCCAGGAUAGCCAGGGCUGCACAGAGAAACCUUGUCUUGAAACACUCAAAAAGAAAAGAAGAGGAGAAGGAGGUGGAGGAGGAGGAGGAGGAAGAGGAGGAAGAGGAAGAGGAAGAGGAAAAAGAAGAGGAAGAGGAAGAGGAGGGAAGAAAAUUCUAGCCACCAGUGAUUAAGUGAUAGAAUUUGAAGUUAUAUAUUUUUAUGGGCAGGAGGGAGUUAAGUUUGGUUUUCCUCCUCUCUCACCCUCUCCUCAUCCAAGACCUGCCUCACACUUAACUUCAUAGCAGAGGAUAUUCUGGGACAGGUCUGAUGCUCUCGCCUCUACUUGCCAAGGGCUGGGGUCUCAGCUGUGCGCGGUCACAAAGGCUUAUCUGCCCAGAUGUCUGGAAGUGUUCUAGAGAACUGUACUCCUUACUUCAUGGCACAGAAAGAAAAUGCUGUUGCCAAACAACCCUAGAUACUGUGUAUCCUCGGAUCCCAUGGGUUAUUAAAAGGACAGCAGAAAAGGUUUCUCUUUAUCUAAAUCAGUGUGUCUCAGGCCGCACCACGGAACUCCCUUUUGCAUUACCUGUUAAAGGUGAGGCGCUGUGCAGACCAGGCUGUAACCAAAACGCAAGGAUGGGAACCGCAGCAUGGCGGCCGGGGUUUGUCACUGUAUGACAAAGAAAGCAUCUGUCAUAUGCAAACAGGCGCUUGCUCCUUUGGAACGAAAAUGGUUAUUUUUAGGGGAUGCAGAACAGCUCGGUGGUAAAGGGCAGGCAAAAGGCCCUGGGCCCCACCCCAAUUCUGAAACAAACCCCAAACAACUCAAAAUGUGAUUUUUUUCAAUCAGAAAAUUACUUGCCCUUUCUAUAUGUACAUCUAUUUAGACCUGUAUAUUUUCAUUUUCCCUUUUGUGUAUGUGGUGUGCAUGUAUGUGUUUGCAUGUUUUGUAUGUGUGAGAAUUUCUGUGCAUGUGGAAGCCUAAGGUUGAUUUUGGGGAAUCAUCUUCAAUGGCUUUUCCACUUUAUUCAAUGAGGCCAGGUGGCUCAGUCAGACCCGGGCUCACCUGUGUGGCUGUUCUAGCAAGCCAGCUUGCUCUAGGUGUCCUCUGUCUCUGCCUUUCAAAUCUGAAAUUACGGGUGGGUCCGGCAUGCCCACCCAGCCUCUAUGUAGGUUCUAGGGAUCUGAAUUCCAGUUUUUAAGCCUUCCAGUUUUUAAGCCUGUGUGGCAAGUAAUAAACCUCGGAGCCAUCUCCACGACCCUAAACUACUUAUUGAUCAAUGCUGUAUAUAAUCACGGAAAAAUGUCUUAUUAAAUAUCAGUAUGUUUCUUACUCUGUGUAAUAAGUUUUGUAAAGUGUUUAACAAAAAGCAAGAUUAUUUUUAUCAGUUUAUAUUCUUUUUCAGUAUCUUCAACCAGUAAAAUUGUUCCUUUUACCCUCAUUCCUGACGUGUGUAUGGUAGCUGUGGUGUUUUGAGACACGGUCUUAUAUAACUCAGGCUGGCCUUGAGCACCUGAUACCUCCUACCUCUGCUUCCCAAAUACUGAGAUUUUAGGCAUGUACCCCUAUGCCGGAACUAAUAUGUAUUCUAAUAUUUUCCUGAUUAAUAAUGAAUUGAACAUCUUGCACAUCUACUCUAUGACCAAACUACAGAACUUGCUAGUUCACAUGUUUUGCCGUAUGUCUCUUCUAUCUCCCAUUGUUCUUGAGAUAGGGUCUCACUGUAACCAAGGCUAGGUUUGAAUCACUGGUAAUCUUCUUGUAUUGAAAGAGCGUACCCCAAAACGGGGAGUGCGUCUCUCUCUCCGAUCGCGGGGUGGGGUGCCCCCAGGAAUCACGAGUAGCCAUUCUUGAUGUAACAGCAAGAGGUAGCUUUUAUUAACGAGAUCCCGGGUCUUAGCGGGAUCCCGGGUCGACACGUAUCUCACACAGGAGACAGAGGAAUCGACCCCGAGCUUCCAAACUCGGGGGUUUAUAUAGGGGAGGUAAGGGGCAUUCGCGCGGUUACACAUGAUUGGUCAAUUC
ensembl:lncRNA